rnacentral:lncRNA from 1 species
AUACUGAGGGUGUAUGUAAAAUCACAAAGAAGAAACUGUGUCAGGUAAGGAAAUAUACAUUCAAAAUAAUAUAUAUAUAUUUAAAAUUAAGUCUUCUACUUGACUUUUAACAAUUCUUGAAGAGAAGUCGAGAAUGUAAGUAAUAUUUUUAUUUAAGUAAGGGUUUAAGGAAAGGGCAUGCUACCCUGAAUGGCAGUCAUGAGCAGAACAGAUGCUGUUUAAAUUUAAUGGAAACAUAAGCUUAAUAUUUUAGCCAUAGAAAGCUAAAUUUGAAUUUAUCUAUACCGCAUAAUAAUCAACCUGAGGAAAAUGAUUUGAUUUUUCAAAAGCUUAAUUUCUUUAUUCUAGAAAAUUCAAGUGAUGUAUUGUCUUCCCAUUGUUAUAUUCAUUCACGUUAAUCAUGCAAUCAUUAGGUGUCUACUUCUGCUAUACUACUAACAGUGGCCAGCUCACUAGACACAUACCUGAACAAAAACAGUAAACAUUUUUAAAAACUUACUUUAUUUGAAAAUUCAGAUACUUUUAUAUCAUUGAGUCAUUUACUGCUGUAAAGUUUUUACUAAGAAAAGGCAGAGAAAUCAACCUUAGCAUCCUGUUAUAAACUGUCCAUUUAUUUGCUCAUUUCUUCAGGAUACUCUUAUUCCUUUCUGUUAUAAAGAAAACAAAUUCUGAAGAAUCCAACUUUUCAUUCCAGAGUUCCUAUCUUAAUUAGCAUACAAGGUAGGUAAGGUUUAAACAAUUUCCUCAAAGCUGUGACUUUAGGUUGCCAUCCUUAGCUUAUAGUUUUCCAGUUGGGUGAUGCUCAUCUACAGGGCUCUUGUAAAUAAACACAGUUUCGGAAUUAUAGGCUCAGGUUAAGGGAAUAGUUUCAGAAAACUUUGAGUGUGAAGAUGUUUGAAAAUUAUUUAGAACUAUCUGAAUAAUCUCUGGAUGAUGUUUGUGAUAUUCCGAGGAGCUGCUGAGGACACAGGUCUUACUGCUUUGUGAGAAUCAGUGCAAAAAAUAGCUCUCAGAGGGGGUAAGGUGGGAGUGUAUCACUUUUAGCUACAUCCAUGAGAACCCAAUAAGCUUGCCUGAUAAUGAUAUAGAAUUCUUCCAAGGAACUGAGUUAGUGAUAUUAUGAGUUGGAAACCCUGGAACUGAAGUUACAGAUGAUGGUGAGCUACUGUCUGGGUGUUGAAAACUGAAUUGAUGUCCUCUGUGAGAGCCAUAAUUGAUUUUAAGACAUUCUUCCAGCCCUGCAUAAGUAGUGUCUCUAAACUGAGCAGCUCUUUAAAGUCAGAUAUGUAUAAAGUUUUUGAUUCUACCAGUUAUACUAAAAUUAAAUAUCAGUAUAGUUCCUAGUAAUGAGUAUUAAUACCAAAUAGUGUAGUCUUUGGUUUAAGUUAAUAAAAUACAUACUAACAAAUUCUAACUAGUCUCAAAAGAGUUACUACUUUUUGUUAGUACUUAAAUCCUGACUUAUCUAAAGCCUAGAAGGAAGGGAGCUGGGUCUUCAGUUUACUGACUCUGGUCCACAUUCAAAGUGGCAGGAGGCAGGGAUCUGUGGCUCUCUUCGAUGCUGCAUAACAAGCUAUGAAACUUAUCUCUUCUCAUUCUUUCCUCUCCACAUGGGGGAGUUAAGUUUGGAGCAGGAAUUUUGACUUAUAGUGGUUCACACAUUACUUCUGUGUAGCCAAGGUGAGUCACUAACAGGUCAUAAUCUAGCAGAUCAUGAUAGUGCCCUUUUUUCUCUAUAAAAAUAGCUACCACUUAGCUUCUCAGAAUGACUGAUUCUCCAUAGGUAGUGUGUUCUGAAAUAGUGUUAUUUCCAGAGCUCACUCACUUUUCUUCUACUAUUUUCCCCAGACAAAUGUCUCAUUAUCAGAGAGAUUAUACUGUACUACAAUUCCCAUAUAUGCACUUCUGAUUGUUGAUAGGACUUUACUAAUAUUGAUGGAAGGGUUACAAAUAUUGCUAUCAUCACAGUCUUCCUGAAAUCCUCUUCAGACUUAUUACUGAUGCUGUUUACCAUAUAAGAUUAUUUUAAAAUACUUUGGACACAAAGAUCCAAUUUAAUUUGUUAGUAACACAUUUUCCAUGUUUUUAAUUAUUAUAAUAUACCUGCUUCAAAAUUUCUUGAUUUUAUGCAAAUAGAAGUGAAGUGAUUUUAUAGGUGUGUAAAUUAUUCAUAGAUCAUAGCUCAAAGCUCUAUAAGAAACCUAAUUUUGAUUUUCAUGGAUAAGGACUUAUAGGUAUCAAUGACUGUAGCAUCUGGGAUUGCCUUCCUCAGCAAUAUGAUCACUAUUACCUCCAUGUGCUAGAUUGUAACUAUGUUCUGUAUCUUGCCAUAUAAAUUUUAUGCUCUCAGCUACUGAUUUCUGACCCAAUUAUUUUCUGUUCCAAAAAACAAUAUUUUAAACCUACCACCAUUUUAUGUAUUAUGUUUUUUCUAGAAUCCUCAAAAAUAUUUUUCACUUAGGAAUUUCCAGUUUUUUUCUGUCUCUCUGUCUCUCCCCCUUUCUUAAACCUGGUUAACUUUUAUCUACACUGUUUCAGGUGUUGUAUAUAUUUCAGUAAUGAGAUUUUAAUAAGCCCCAAAUCCAUGGAAUAGUCAGUGCUCUAAAGUGUAUUUGCUUGUUUUGUCUACUGGUUUAAAUUUUAUAGAGUCGAGAGUUCUUUAUUUAUACGCACUUGAGGUAGCCACAUUGAAAAUAUAACUAAACAUUUCAUAGUACUGAACUCCAUACUGUGGAUUAAGAAUUUUGCUUAGUCUUUUUUUUUUUUUUUUUUUUUUUUCUUUUUGGGUUAUCUCAUUUGUCUCAAGAAAGAAAGUAUAUACAAAAUCAAGUUUUGUAAAAUUGCAACAAAAUGUUCUAUGAGACAAUAUGAGACAGAAUAAACUAGUGGGGGGAUCACGGGGAGGGAGAGAUUGGUUAAUGGUUAACAACAUUGGUUGCUUUGCUAGAGGAGUCGGGUUUGAUUCCCUGCACUCACAUGGCCACUCACAGUCAUCUGCAACUCUAGCUCCAGGCAAUUUGAUGGCCUCUGCUGGCCUCUGUGGGCAUUACGUACAUGGUGAUCAGACAUAUCCUAACAUGCAGGCACAACACCCCCACAC